GAAGUUACUUGUGUCGCUUUCGCCUACCCUAGAGAGUGGUGUGGCAAUUUUUUCUUUCUGCAAGUGAAAAUUUUUAUAAAUUCACUUGAUUUAAAUUUGAUAAAAAAAAAUUAAAAAAUCAAGGAUCAGUGAAAUUAAAGCAUUUUUCAUUAUAGAUUCAUAAUGAGUCACAGUAAUAGUAAUAAUAACAGCAACCGGCCACCUCCCCGCAUUGACGGGAUGGUGUCCCUUAAAGUUGAUAAUUUAACUUAUCGCACCACUCCGGAAGAUUUGAGACGAGUUUUCGAAAGGUGCGGUGAAGUUGGAGAUAUUUACAUACCACGCGAUCGCUAUACCCGCGAAAGCCGGGGCUUCGCUUUCGUUAGAUUUUAUGACAAGAGGGAUGCCGAAGACGCACUUGAAGCUAUGGAUGGCCGCAUGUUAGACGGCAGGGAGUUGCGUGUCCAAAUGGCUCGCUACGGGCGACCAACAUCGCCAACCAGACGCAAUGGACGCGGUGGUGGCGGCGGUGGUGGAGGCGGUAGACGCCGUGGAGGACGUUCUCGUUCACCGCGACGUCGAUCGCGCAGUCCAAGGCGCAAGCCUUCAUACUCGCCGAGAUCCAGAUCUCGCUCGGUGGGUAGCCGCUCGCCGGUGCGUCGGAAUAAGUUUUCACGCAGCCCCGUCCGCAAAUCUCUGAGCCGCAGCAACAGCCAUAAUGGCGGGCGCAGUGUUUCACGUAGUCGCAGUCGUAGUAGGACUUAAGCAUUUUUGCAAGAGACUACUGAAAACAUGGCAGGUGCUGCUGCAUCAGGACCUCGAGUAUUCAACAUACACAGGGCGUUCCUGUCUGUAAAUGUAACGUGUGAUGCUGCUGCUGCUGCCACUACUGCUGAUUUAAAUCUUUUCUGUUAACGUGCCUUCAGCAAGUAACAAAAAAAAAAAAACAA